CGACCGCUGGCGGCGUGCUUACCACAUGCAAGUCGAACGGAAAGGCCCUGCUUUUGUGGGGUGCUCGAGUGGCGAACGGGUGAGUAACACGUGAGUAACCUGCCCUUGACUUUGGGAUAACUUCAGGAAGCUGGGGCUAAUACCGGAUAGGAGCUCCUGCUGCAUGGUGGGGGUUGGAAAGUUUCGGCGGUUGGGGAUGGACUCGCGGCUUAUCAGCUUGUUGGUGGGGUAGUGGCUUACCAAGGCUUUGACGGGUAGCCGGCCUGAGAGGGUGACCGGCCACAUUGGGACUGAGAUACGGCCCAGACUCCUACGGGAGGCAGCAGUGGGGAAUAUUGCACAAUGGGCGGAAGCCUGAUGCAGCAACGCCGCGUGCGGGAUGACGGCCUUCGGGUUGUAAACCGCUUUCGCCUGUGACGAAGCGUGAGUGACGGUAAUGGGUAAAGAAGCACCGGCUAACUACGUG
rnacentral:rRNA from 1 species